rnacentral:tRNA from 1 species
GGAGGGUAGAGCUCACGGUAGAGCACGUGCUUAGCAUGCAGGAGGUCCUGGGUUCAGUUCCCAGAACUGCCA